rnacentral:rRNA from 1 species
UACGUAGGGUGCAAGCGUUGUCCGGAAUUAUUGGGCGUAAAGAGCUCGUAGGCGGCCUGUUGCGUCCGCUGUGAAAGCCCGGGGCUUAACCCCGGGUCGGCAGUGGAUACGGGCAGGCUAGAGGUAGGUAGGGGAGAAUGGAAUUCCUGGUGUAGCGGUGAAAUGCGCAGAUAUCAGGAAGAACACCCGUGGCUAAGGCGGCUCUCUAGUACGGUACUGACGCUGAGACGCGAAAGCGUGGGGAGCAAACAGG